rnacentral:siRNA from 1 species
AAUGGGCCCAAAGGAAUUAUGGUA